rnacentral:antisense_RNA from 1 species
UGUGGGAGCUGGCUUGCCUGCGAUGCAGACGACGCGGUGCUAAAGGUUCACCGCAGUGAUGCAAUCGCAGGCAAGCCAGCUCCCACA